rnacentral:lncRNA from 1 species
CCACCCCCUAAGAUUCCAGCCUGCCGGAACCCUUUCCAGGUUCCUUUCACAAGAACACUGUCCCCUCCAAACGCAGUGACUUUUAUCCCCCGCCCCUUCUCCCGCCUGCCUCACCAGGGCGCACACGCUCCUUGGCCCCGGUCGGCUGGCUGUGAUUGGCGCCGGCGGCCCCAGCAGAUGACGGAGGAGACAAAGUGAUGGCUGCAGGUCGUCUGAGGUCCCACCCCGGCCACGUGCGGCUUCUGUGAUGACAGGUCUGUGUGUAGGUCUGUGCAUGUGAACCUAGGUGCCUGCGGAGUCUAGAAGAGAAUGGCAGAUCCCCUAGAGCUGGAGCUGGAGCUGGAGUUGGAGUUGGAGUUGGAGUUGGAGUUGGAGCUGGAGCUGAAGCUGGAACUGUUAUGGACUAAACAGUUCCCUCAAGCCUCUGCAAUGUGGCCUCCCUGCCAUGACGGACUGUAACUUGGAACUGUGAUAUAAAACAAAGCCA